GAGGAAAAGAAACUAACAAGGAUUCCCCUAGUAACUGCGAGUGAAGCGGGAAAAGCUCAAAUUUAAAAUCUGGCGGUUCUGCCGUCCGAGUUGUAAUUUAGAGAAGCGUUAUCCGCGCUGGACCGUGUACAAGUCUCCUGGAAUGGAGCGUCAUAGAGGGUGAGAAUCCCGUCUUUGACACGGACUGCCAGGGCAUUGUGAUGCGCUCUCAAAGAGUCGAGUUGUUUGGGAAUGCAGCUCAAAAUGGGUGGUAAAUUCCAUCUAAAGCUAAAUAUUGGGGAGAGACCGAUAGCGAACAAGUACCGUGAGGGAAAGAUGAAAAGAACUUUGGAAAGAGAGUUAAACAGUACGUGAAAUUGUUGAAAGGGAAACGCUUGAAGUCAGUCGCGCCGCUCAGAACUCAGCCUUGCUCUGCUUGGUGUACUUUCUGUUCGGUGGGUCAGCAUCAAUUUUGGUCGGUGGAUAAAGGCUCAGAGAAUGUGGCAUCUUCGGGUGUGUUAUAGCUCUGGGUCGCAUGCAUCGGCUGGGAUUGAGGAACUCAGCACGCCGCAAGGCCGGGUACUUGUACCACGUACGUGCUUAGGAUGCUGGCAUAAUGGACUUUAAUCGACCCGUCUU
rnacentral:rRNA from 1 species